rnacentral:rRNA from 1 species
GUGGGGAAUAUUCCGCAAUGGACGAAAGUCUGACGGAGCAACGCCGCGUGAGUGAUGAAGGUUUUCGGACUGUAAAGCUCUGUUGUUUAGGACGAAAGUGCCUGUUGCGAACAGUUACAGGUAUUGACGGUACUAAACGAGGAAGCCACGGCUAACUACGUGCCAGCAGCCGCGGUAAUACGUAGGUGGCAAGCGUUGUCCGGAAUUAUUGGGCGUAAAGAGCAUGUAGGCGGAGAUUUAAGUCUGUUGUGAAAAUGCGGGGCUCAACCCCGUAUUGCGAUGGAAACUGAAGUUCUUGAGUGCAGGAGAGUAAAGGGGAAUUCCCAGUGUAGCGGUGAAAUGCGUAGAUAUUGGGAGGAACACCAGUGGCGAAGGCGCCUUUCUGGACUGUGUCUGACGCUGAGAUGCGAAAGCCAGGGUAGCGAACGGGAUUAGAUACCCGAGUAGUCC